GACGAACGCUGGCGGCGUGCUUAACACAUGCAAGUCGAACGGAAAGGCCCUGCUUGCAGGGUACUCGAGUGGCGAACGGGUGAGUAACACGUGGGUGAUCUGCCCUGCACUUCGGGAUAAGCUUGGGAAACUGGGUCUAAUACCGGAUAGGAACCAUCUUUAGUGUGGUGGUUGGGAAGUUUUUUCGGUGUAGGAUGAGCUCGCGGCCUAUCAGCUUGUUGGUGGGGUAAUGGCCUACCAAGGCGGCGACGGGUAGCCGGCCUGAGAGGGUGUACGGCCACAUUGGGACUGAGAUACGGCCCAGACUCCUACGGGAGGCAGCAGUGGGGAAUAUUGCACAAUGGGCGCAAGCCUGAUGCAGCGACGCCGCGUGGGGGAUGAAGGCCUUCGGGUUGUAAACUCCUUUCGCUAGGGACGAAGCUUUGUUGUGACGGUACCUAGAUAAGAAGCACCGGCUAACUACGUG
rnacentral:rRNA from 1 species